UCGAGGAGGCAUCACCCCAAGGCAAUGAAACUGCUGAGUACAAGUCUCUUACUUCUCCUUUUUCAGUGUGUCCAAGGGUUAAAAACACUUCCGAACUAUCCUUCCAACUGCAAGGUCAAGCAGCUGUCCAAACCACCCAAGGAGAAGCAGGAGCCAGGGACAGCCAACUCCAGCUAGCUGGGCCACCACGGCCCUCCCCUCCCCCACGCGGGCCCGGCAGGGGAAGAGUUAAUCGCCAUCAGCUUUGGCUGAUAGUUCAGGCUCCAAAGUUCAGUCCCAGUCUGAGCCACCCCGGAGGAAUUGUAAAUCUCAGGGCAGUAUUUAACAAAACAAAAGCAACCUGGAAUUACAUGCAGGUUUGGUUUUCUACAGUACAUAUUUACUUAAUCCCCUAGGGCCGGCUUGAGACAGUCUGGCCUGCCAGCCUCCAAUCUCUCUCUCUCCUUUGCUCUAGUCACUGGGUCCCGAAGCUUGGCGGGCAGCACCAGUCCGACGGCUGCUUUGGCCACCAGAUAGAUCAUCUGCAGAGGGAACACCACCAACGCGCCCAGCCAUUUCCACACCAUCCUCCGCGCCGCGGAGACAGGCAGGGGGGGCGAAACUCCCCGGACCGAGCAAAACAGGAAUUAAAAAAAGAAAACACCCCAAACAAUAAUAAAUAAACCGAAUGAAAGGGGGAGAGAGGCGUCCCACCUGGCCACUGUUGAAAUCACCUCUUCCCAAAAGCAAAGCACCGGGUGAGAAAAAAAAGAAAA